rnacentral:rRNA from 1 species
CCUACGGGUGGCAGCAGUGAGGAAUAUUGGUCAAUGGACGCGAGUCUGAACCAGCCAAGUAGCGUGAAGGAUGACUGCCCUAUGGGUUGUAAACUUCUUUUAUAUGGGAAUAAAAUGUUCCACGUGUGGGAUUUUGUAUGUACCAUAUGAAUAAGGAUCGGCUAACUCCGUGCCAGCAGCCGCGGUAAUACGGAGGAUCCGAGCGUUUUCCGGAUUUAUUGGGUUUAAAGGGAGCGUAGGUGGAUUUUUAAGUCAGUUGUGAAAGUUUGCGGCUCAACCGUAAAAUUGCAGUUGAAACUGGCAGUCUUGAGUACAGUAGAGGUGGGCGGAAUUCGUGGUGUAGCGGUGAAAUGCUUAGAUAUCACGAAGAACUCCGAUUGCGAAGGCAGUUCACUGGACUGCAACUGACACUGAGGCUCGAAAGUGUGGGUAUCAAACAGGAUUAGAUACCCGAGUAGUC